GGGCGGUUAGCUCAGUUGGUACGAGCGCGUCGUUCACACCGACGAGGUCAUUGGUUCGAUCCCAAUACCGCCCACCA
rnacentral:tRNA from 1 species